GACGAACGCUGGCGGCGUGCCUAAUACAUGCAAGUCGAACGCAUUUUCUUUCACCGUAGCUUGCUACACCGAAAGAAAAUGAGUGGCGAACGGGUGAGUAACACGUCUGUAACCUGCCCAUCAGCGGGGGAUAACACUUGGAAACAGGUGCUAAUACCGCAUAAUUCCAUUUACUGCAUGGUAGAUGGAUGAAAGGCGCUUUUGCGUCACUUAUGGAUGGACCCGCGGUGCAUUAGCUAGUUGGUGGGGUAACGGCCUACCAAGGCUGCGAUGCAUAGCCGACCUGGGAGGGUGAUCGGCCAACCUGGGAAUGGGGCACGGCCCAGACUCCUACGGGAGGCAGCAGUAGGGAAUCUUCGGCAAUGGACGCAAGGCUGACCGAGCAACGCCGCGUGAGUGAAGAAGGGUUUCGGAUCGUAAAACUCUGUUGUUAGAAAAGAAAAAGGAUGAGAGUGGAAAGUUCAUCCCUUGACGGUACCUAAACAGAAAGCCACGGCUAACUACGUG
rnacentral:rRNA from 1 species